UGGGGAAUUUUGGACAAUGGGCGCAAGCCUGAUCCAGCCAUGCCGCGUGCAGGAUGAAGGCCCUCGGGUUGUAAACUGCUUUUGUACGGAACGAAAAGCCUCUUUCUAAUAAAGAGGGGUGAUGACGGUACCGUAAGAAUAAGCACCGGCUAACUACGUGCCAGCAGCCGCGGUAAUACGUAGGGUGCGAGCGUUAAUCGGAAUUACUGGGCGUAAAGCGUGCGCAGGCGGUCUUGCAAGACAGUGGUGAAAUCCCCGGGCUCAACCUGGGAACUGCCAUUGUGACUGCAAGGCUGGAGUACGGCAGAGGGAGAUGGAAGUCCGCGUGUAGCAGUGAAAUGCGUAGAUAUGCGGAGGAACACCGAUGGCGAAGGCAGUCCCCUGGGCCUGUACUGACGCUCAUGCACGAAAGCGUGGGGAGCAAACA
rnacentral:rRNA from 1 species